UGUGGCCAUGACCCAGGAAGUGAUCAUCACCCACGGCCAGCCCCAGGAUGCAGGCCCAGCUUCUUCCCGAACCCGGAGGCGUCACAGCUGGAAGGAGGUCAAGAAAACAAUCAUGAACUGCCUCAGAAACCUCUGUUGCUGCUGCCUGCUUCCUGCAGAGAGAGGCCAUGCCUCCCGCAACAACCUGGCUCCAAAGGGAAGGGAUCAUGGAGUCACCCCCAGAACCAGUCCUCAAGAGGUCAAGCCCCAGCUCCAUGGCUUGUGAACCACAGGUUGGGGACCAGUCUGGCUGAGAAUCGGACAGCCCCAUGGGAAGCCAGGCCAGAUGUCUGGGAGGCAGUGUGGAUACAGGCCCCUCCUGCAGAGGAAGAGCUGUCCACCCCAGCGCAGAUCUCUCCAGGCCACCAUUCCCAUUGGGAACUGGAUUCUGCACUCACUACCACGUGCCACACCAUGAGGGAGUGAUAGGUGUCGUGAUAUGGAUCGAACCAGAAACCCUUAUGAAGGGGCAGCAACCUGCUGUGGGCCCUGCCUCGUGCCAGCCCAAGUCUGUACUCAGAGGGCAUAUCUGUAAGGUCACUUGUUCUUGCACAGCUGACCUAGUCUUUUUAUUGAGAGUCUUUUGAAGUACCACAAGCUGAGCUGUAUCCGGAUGCCGCUCUUCUUCUGAAGCUGGUGAGCUGUGAUCUGGGCAGGAGGGAGGGAAAGGAGGCUGUCCCAGUCCCAUGCCCUCUCAAGGACACUCAGGUCAGUAUACAGCAGUCCCUGGACUGCCACCUGUGUAGCCGGGCAGCUUUGAAGGAUGUUCUGACUAGCGGCCCUCAAGUUGGUCUCAUCUAACUCUCUAUGCAGCUCCGUGGGACAGGAUGGAAGGCACAAGCCUCAACCAGCCCAUGUCCAGACCUGCAGCUGAUGACCCUAUGAGAGGGAGCCUCACCCCCACUGUGUAGCUGGAGAAUUUCUCUCCAGCUCCCUCUAAGUCCUGCCAGUCCCGGAACCCACUUAUAAAAUAAACACACAGACUCUUACAUUAUUUAAACUGCUUGGCCAUUAGCUCAGGCCUAUCAUUGUCUAGCUCUUACUCUUAUAUUUAGCCCAUUUCUAUUAAUCUUUACUUUGCCAUGUGGCUUGUGGCUUACUGGUACCUUAUAUCUUGCUUGUCAUGGCUGUGGCUGGCAGGUCUCUCUGACUCAGCCUUCCACUUCCCAGAAUUCUCUUCUCUGUUAGUCCCGCCUAUCCUUCCUGUCUACUGGCCAAUCAGUGUUUUAUUUACUAACCAAUCAGAGCAACAUAUUUGACAUACAGAACAUCCCUCGCCCCUCGGGAGAUCUCAUACCCCUCACAUUUAGCCAGUUCUAGGGAGUUUGUGCAUUUUUCUUAAGACUAGAUGCCAGAGCCAGGGUGAAGGUGUAUGCCUAUAAUCCCAGGACUCUGGAGGCUUAAUCAGGAGACUAGCCAUAAAUUCAAGGCCAGCCUGGGCUAUAUAAGGAGCAGUAGUCUAGCCUUGGUGGCACUGUGAGAUUCUCUCUCUUUCUAAAACAGAAAGUGAACAACAGGACUAGUGUUCCGUGUGCCUUGCAUGCACACUGGUUCUUGGCCCUGGGUUCUUGUCCAGCAUAAAAUAAAACCAGGUGGAGCAUGCUGAGAAUCCCAGUAUUCGAGGGUGGAGACAAGAGGAUCAGGCAGUUAAGGUCAUCUUCCAACAUGGAAGUCAGAGUUGGAGGUCAGUCUAGGAGGAAUGACACUCUAUUUUAAAAGUAAACAACCCCUAUCCCCAAAUCUUAAUACCCAAAUCUAAACAGUGACAUGGCAGCCCAUAACAACCACAUAUUCUGUGUGAAUCAGAAGACCUUUCUGAUAGAGAGAAGAAAGUCGGGCAUCUAGAUGUGCAGUGCAGUAAUUUUUUUCCCUGUGACUCCAUCUGGAACUGGCCUCAGCAUUGAGUUCAUCCCCUGUGCACAGCACUGAAGAGCUGUUCAACAAGUACUUCAUGCUGGCCCUGUGGGAGGCACUGGGGAGCUGUGUAAGUAGUGCUCCCUGUUGAUCCUGUGGGGGGCAGUCAGGAGGAAGGUUUGGAGAGCAUGGAGACCCCCAUCUGUGCCAAUAGGAAAGGCAGGAAGGCUGCUGGCCCUGCAACCUGUCAGAAACUCUGGUGUUGUGCUGCCCCCUUGUGGCACUUCUAUACCAGUUCCGUGUUAGUGCACCUGGUUGGUAGAGGUCCUGCUUCACCUGGUGCCAACCACUGGGGUGGUUGGGUGGGUUUGUGGGUGGGGUGGGGGUAGGCUUGCACCGCUAUACCCAUCUAACGUGAUUUUGUCCUUCCUUCUUUCAUUCCUUUUCCCCAUUAUCACAGUAAAGGAACAAAUACUUUUCAUAGCUCUGCUGACCACGAGAUGGCCUUGAAGAAAUUGCAUAGACACACACUGCUGUUCCUGGCUCUGUUGUUUAUAAGGCUAGACGACUGGGCAGUGAGUCAAGAGUGUGAAGUCGACACUCUGGGUGAUUUCAGAAGCAUAAGAGGACCGGGACAGUGACUGUCUGUUUUUACAUUACCUGCUUCUUUCGUGAGAUAGGAAUUCGUUCCCCAGAAUGCAAGAAAAAGGACGAGCAGGCUUGCUGAAGCUUGUCACCCCAGCACUUGGAGAUGAAGACAGCACGAGACGAGGUGCCUCUCAGAAGCUGAGGAGGAUGGCCCUGCACUCGGGAGCAAAGGCCACCUUGAUCAAUUUUACUGGCAUUAACCCCCCUGCAAAUCAUUGCAAUAUGUUUACUAUGUUGGGAAUAAAAUGGCAUUGUUAAAUGA